rnacentral:tRNA from 1 species
GCCAGGUUGGCCGAGCGGUCUAAGGCGCCAGAUUUAAGCUCUGGUUCCCAGUAGGGAGCGUGGGUUCGAACCCCACACCUGGCA